AUUGAACGCUGGCGGCAGGCCUAACACAUGCACGUCGAACGAGUGGCGGACGGGUGAGUAAUGUCUGGGAAACUGCCUGAUGGAGGGGGAUAACUACUGGAAACGGUAGCUAAUACCGCAUACCAUCAGAUGUGCCCAGAUGGGAUUAGCUUGUAGGUGGGGUAACGGCUCACCUAGGCUACGCUCCCUAGCUGGUCUGAGAUGAGGACCAGCCACAGUGGAACUGAGACACGGUCCAGACUCCUACGGUAGGCAGCCGGGGUGAACAUUGCACAACGGGCGCAAGCCUGAUGCAGCCAUGCCGCGUGUGCGAAGAAGGCCUUAGGGUUGUAAAGGACUUUCAGCGGGGAGGCGUUACACGCAGAAGAAGCACCGGCUAACUCCGUGCCAGCCGUCGCGGUAAUAC
rnacentral:rRNA from 1 species